GCUAAAUUUCUCUAAUGUCCACCGUUACCGCGCAUGUCAGACGUAUGCUGCGGUUGAGCACUUGUAUCUCCUUGCACGAAACCCAGGUGGGUGUGGGGGGAUGUCAUUGGUGAAAGAACUUGCGCUCAUGAUGGAUACCUUGGCACCACUCUCCAUGCAUACUUGGACGGCUCGUUGAUUGACGUAGCCAGUCAUGAUUGGUUGAGUGCCGCCGGUCGACCGCAAGGAACAGUUUGCUUGCCUUGUUGUUGACCCCAUUCUGCUAUUCUUUUUCUCCAUUGUAGCUCACCUCUCGUCCGUCAGGAUCUACGCUGGGGUCUUGGGUUUUUCACAGUCGCGGGACAGAUGACCGGGAUCUACGCAAUUGAAACAUAAUCAGGCAUAGUUGUUUAGGGAGUGUGGAGGUCCUGUGUCGUUUCUCCGUGUGCUCUUCAUCGGGACGGGGGUAGGGUCUCUGACUGGUCUGCAACGUUCGUCUGACCUUUGCCCAUGGCAGGCUGCUGAAGGUGGUAAUCGUCCUUUCUUUUCUAGGGCACGAACGUUCAGUUGGCUGGCACCUUGCAUCGAUUCCUUACAUCGAUUCAAUUGGCACCUUGCAUUGCCAUCGCUGCUCGGUCGGUGAGCUCGGUCACCCCAAGGAGCUUUGCUGCCAGCGGAUUGAUUCUCUCUUCUUCUGCAAGUCAGUACGGUCCGGCCUUGUGAAGUAUGGCGUUUUUCAAGUACAUAUACUCGACCAUGGCCUAGUUGUUAUGAAGGUGCCAUUUCGACUGCAGCUCGAGAAACUCCUGCAUCGUGUGUCCACCCCUCCCAUGUGUCAUAACGCGAACCGUAAGCGCUGUGCCACUCCAAUGAGCGAGCUCUGCGAUCCGCUGCACUUGCGCAAUCCAUCGCUGAGCACUUUCUUGGGUGCCCCGUCGUAGGUUGGAAUUGCGAAGUGUCCCUCGUGGAGUGGAUAUGGAUCGGGUUUGUCGUUGGCAGGCCUCUAGACAGCGCAUUCUCGAGCUGGACAGGAGUGUUGACGAGCGCGGCGAGCAUCAGAGCCAUGGGAGGCUCUGCGGUGAGGGAGCCCUGCCUUCGAACAUUUAUGGCGUCUGCGUCUUGGCUAGCGCGAUUGUUCGACCUCGGUGGUUGCAUCGAAUCGGUUGUCCUCGUUGGGUCAAUUGGAGCGUAAGGUUGUGCUCCGCGAUGCGAACUUGUGAGGUGUUGUCUUGUGUUGUGUGUGUCUAGCAGGGAAACAUUUUUGUCAGUGAUGCUGUGUCAUCGAGUCAGAAAUGAGAUCCUGGUUUCAGUUACAGCCGGCAGAAUAGCAUUACACAAGUAUACGAAACAGAAUGCUGUGCUACAAUGAAUUCUUAAAAAUAAACAAUGGUUCACAUCUGCAAAAGCGCUCUGCGCACCACUCAAUCUGGCAAUACAAAUAUUUACUUCCGAUGUUUGUGCCUCAAUUAAAAUAAAUUGUAACUUGCUUUCUGGGUGUCCCUUGUUAAGUAUCACCAUAUGCUUGCAGAGCAUCACGCAGAGAUAAUGGCCAGUUCUUCGGCGUACCAUCUAUUAGUGAAUUCCUUGCAUAUUGCAUGUUACCAGAACUAAAAGACAAAUUAAAAUAUGCUGUUAUUUUUUUGCACACACUGUACGAUGAGCUUAUCAUGCAGUGCAGUGUAUAUAGAACAUGAUUGCAAGCUUAAAUGCUGCAAGACAUCUACUUCACACCAUGUGACAUAGUCAUACUUUAUUACCUAAUAAAUUAGAAAAGACGCAGAAUGUGUAAUUAACAAGAGUGACAAAUAGCAGCAAAGGUGGCCAUGCACAGAUCUUGAAGAUGAUCGCUGCCACAGCCAGAGCAGGCCAGCCUUCAUAGGAGGGCACUGGCUGCCCACAAAAGCUUGCUGUCGCAGGUUACGCAUGAAAGUUCUUGUAUACACAGGCAAGCAAAAUCUACACAUAAGAGAAAGAAAGCGAGGAAGAAAAUGAGAAUGUCCAAAUUGAAACUUGCAUUAGCAAUAUGUGCCAAGCAGUUUGACUUGCAUUAAAAAUAGACUUAAGCCCUCCUUUUUCUUUAAGUACUGGGCUCUUAAGGUACGUAUGUGAUGAUGGUUAAAAUUACUAGGAUAUUUCCUGGCACAUAGUUAUUAAAAUGCAGAGCAGAGUCAGACAGAGAAGUGUCUUCAAAUUAAUAUAUGGUGUUUCGUGGCUAAAAAGGCACUUAUCAACUUAUCACUAUCAAAGGCUUCCCGAGAUUUCUCGUGUGGUUUGGUUAGGGUCACGGAACAAAACGACUGUGUUUUCGAAGUGUGGUUUACACUGGCAUGAUUGGCAAUUUGAGAAGACGGCACGCCAUUUAAUUAAUUUCUGUGUUCUUGGCGUUUGCUCUGUAUGUUUAUCGGCAGUGUGUGGACUGAUUGGGAAAGGGCAAGUUGUAGACCUGCCCUUUUAUAGUUAUUUGCCGUAGCACUAAUCGUCUUGUGUUCCGCAUAGCAGGCACGUUCCAAGAACUAUAUGUAACGUAGAAGAAUGCACGCAAGUGCCAGGAUUGCUUACCUCUCCAGGCCUGCUGUCAGAUGCCGUGGCACCGACACUCCUUCCAGCGUAAACACUGUAGAACUGCGGAUGAACUCCAGCAUGUGAUAGCACGACUUCCAACAAAUUUUUCCAUACACUGUCAUUCAAUGUGAGAGCACCAGCUUUCCUUGAGCCGGGAACAAAAAAGCGCCAACGGGCUAGAACUGCGAUGAUUCACAUUGGCGCACCGUAUGAAAAAUACGGCGAGUUAUUGGCGUUACACACACCCAGAGGUAUUGAAGUCGUUAAUCCACACGAAAAGGAGCACAUUUUCUCUCGGCACAGCGUAAAUACGACCCAAUUAAUGCAUCCGCCUGCUCUGUAAGAAGCACUUCCUACUAACUUUACGGAGAAGGUUGGAGGUAAAACGUUGCCGGACACUUUCCCGCGGAUGAAAAACGGGAGUUCCGUAGAAAGGACAGUUGGUAAAAAUGCUUUUUUUUUUUAAUGGAAAAUUGUGCGCCUCAUAGUUGUAAUCACGUAAUUGCCUGUAUCUUGCAAAUAAAAGAACUGAGUUCCGGAAAACGGAAAUUCUGUAAGCGGGGACUAUAAAAAGCGGACAGAUCAGGGUAAGAAUUGGUAUGCACAUAAAUCAAAUGGGAAAACAGGAACGCCAUUUUUUUUCAUACUUCUUGUGUCCAUGUUUUCUGUGCUUGCAUUUCUGUACCAUGAAUCCAUACCAAUUUGCUCAGCUUGAUGUUGCUUCGUAUCAAUAGGUGCGAAUGCUGUUUGCAAAAUUUCUAUAUUUUAUUAAUGAUAAUGCUGGUGCAUAUCUCCAGCCAAUGAGAAAAUUGUUUGGACAAUUUUUGGGUAUGGAGGUUACUCCUUUAGCAGAGGAACUGAUCUGCCACAACCAUUCCUCCCUUUAGGGGGUAAGUGCGAGGCCUUGCGGUUACUCCUUCGAGGACAACAAUGGCCCUUGCGCGAAAAAACAAUAUCCAUCAAUCAAUUGCUCUUUUCCGAUGCUCCUCAAGGGAGUCCAGUGAUACGCACAGGCUGUUCCAGCUCUGGUCACGGCACUGCUUGGCGUGAUGGCGGCAAGCUGAGUCGAGACGGUUAAGGCCAAGUUAUACUCUGGUGUUUUCAGCUCCGCGAACUACGUUGGCCUAAUCUAGCUACGUCGCAUUGGCGACGCUUCACUCGGCGGAAAUUCGACUCUCUACACUCCAACCGGGUGCCACUGCACUGAGCGCCCCGAGAUCGCGUGUUGCCACAGCAGCCGUCUCAACGCAUGCGCAGAGAACCAACACCGCAGACGCGAGCACCCGCCGAGUUCUUCGUUUUUGAGAUCGUGCGCUUUUUUUAACGCGCCAACUUGCAAGCAUCGUCGCGGUCUAGGAGUCUUCCUUUUCAUGCUUAAUAACAUUGCACAUCUUUCGAGGAUGGCAUGGAGCAACCCUGCAUGACGGAAGCUGGUGCUGGCAUUGUUGCUGCAUCGUUUUCGCCGCAAGCGCAGGUGAUCAAUCUACAUUCGAGGAUUUUUGACAAGCACACGGAACUCGGAGAAUACCAUCAUCUCAUGCAGGAGCUCCGACAAAGUGACCCCGAGUACCAUCUUAAGUACUUCAGGAUGACAAAGGCUUCUUUCGAGGAGAUACUGAGCCUUGUGUACAACGUUAUCGUUCAUCCACCAACUCGCAGACAUCCACCAACUCGCAGAAUACCCAUCAGCGCGGCAGAAAGGCUCACGGUCAAAUCAAGGUUCGUCGCUACCGGGGGAUCAAUCGUGGAUAUAGCUAUCAGCUACAGAAUGCAUGCGUCAACAGUAGCAAAGAUCCUGAGGGAGACGUUGCCGGCCAUCUGGGACAGAUUGUCACCUGUCGUGCUUAGGUGUCCAACCACAGCAGAGUGGGAAUGAAUAAGAAAAGAUUUUAGCAUGAAAUGGAACUUGCCUCAUUGCAUUGGUAGUAUUGAUGGGCAGCAUUUCGCCAUCAAAUGCCCCGACCGUAGCAGAUCAGAUUGUUUCAACUACUUGGGAUAUUAUUUUUUGGUUCUCCUCGCUGUUGCGGAUGCCAGCUACAAGUUCACCCUUAUUGACAUCGGGGCACAAGGCCGCUUGUCAGAUGGCUCAUUUUUUUGGAGACAGUGCUCUUGGAAUCCAUCUUGAAGGAGGUACUCUGGGGUUACCAUCAGGCGUGUCGAGGUGGCUCAUUUGUCUUGUAGGUGACGCGGAAUUUCCCUUGUGAAUGUACCUGAUGCGCCCGAACCCGGGAAAAAUCUGAGUGAAAAGAAAUAAGUUUUCAAUUAUCGCUGAUCUCGGGCAUAGCGAUGUGUGGAAAACACGUUUGGAAUUUUGGUUUCAAGAUGGCGAGUGUUCUUGGGAACGGUAGAAAGUGAGCCAGACCUGCUUACCGAUAUGAUAAAGGCUGCUGUGUGCCAGCAUAACUUUUUAAUGGCAGACAAGGCAUAUUGUCCUGACGACUACGGCGACAGCGUCCUAGGGGAGACAGUGCAGAAUGGCCAAUUGAGGCAGACAGUAGCUCAAGUUGGCAUUCCGGAUGCGACGCCAGCUAGCAACCACCCGGCUAAUGCUGCCAUGGCUUUGAGAGAUGACAUUGCUGAUAACUGUCUCCGGAAGGCACCUUGCCCUGGCAGUUGAGCGUUGUGAGAUGCAAAUAGGUUGUGGGGCUCAUUGCUUAAGGCACAAGCCAUGCUUUUUCACAGCCGCGUUGUACAACAUUGUGUGCAGGGCGCUAAUUUCUCAAACACGAUCGUGGUUGAAGGCACCAAACCUGCCUUCUUGGAGUAGUAUGUCACAUUCCCCGUGACACUCACUCAGUUACUUUAUCUGCCUUGUCAGCAGUGCUUGCUAACCUAAGUAGCUCGUGUUAAACAGCUUUUCCCAUCCAAAUAAGCGUUAUCUAGCAGAGGGGAUACAAACGUUGCGUUAUGCCAAUAAUUAUGUUUUUGCAGUUUUUUAUUGUAUUACAGUUACAAAUACUUUUGUAAAUAUCACAGCAAAAAACUGUAUUUUCUAUAACAUUUGGAAUUGCGUAACCUUAUCUCAGUUACACAUCAUAAAAAUAUGAAGUACGACAUGACACACCUUGUGAUAUUCCAGUGAUGAAAUUUUCUGAUCUGGAUAAUAAAAAAGACAAUCAAAAACAAUUGACUUCUCUGUUAUCCUCGCUUUGCCUUGUGAGCACUAGCAUUGCAUGAAACUUUACAGUGCACUUUGACAUCUAGGUCAAGUUGAAAGAAAAAAAAAUUAAUAUAAUGAGAACACUGAUACGAUUGAAAUAACAAAGGCCGUUUCCACAAUAAAUUAUUUCAAGCAUACAGUACCAAACAGUGCAAAACAUGUCUGUUUUUUUUAGGCAGUGCGAAGAACAGCAGCCAUCUGUUUUAUUCUGAACGCAAGAGCGAAAGUCAUUGCAAAGUUCGUAAAUGAUCAGAUGUCAAAUUCAGCAAUAAUUUCCAUUAUUCGUACUUUGCAUCAGGCUGCUGCUUGCCUGGUCAUUCUAUCCAGGGUGAUGCCUAUGGACAUGCCAAAUGCCUCACUUUUGGCUAUCUUUUGUUGCAGAUAGGACAACUGUUGCUCAAAUACGUCAUUUGCUUUACGUUUUUUUUUAUGUAUUUUUCGAUGACUCUUUUGUCGCCUGCACAGUGACUUCAUCCUCGUUAUGUAGAUCUGUGCGGCCCAUUGAAAUUGUUCAUGGUCGCAGUUGCGGCUCCCUGUUGGCAAAGA
rnacentral:lncRNA from 1 species